rnacentral:rRNA from 1 species
CAGUCGCCGCGGUAAUACGUAGGGUGCAAGCGUUGUCCGGAAUCAUUGGGCGUAAAGCGCGCGUAGGUGGCCAUUUAAGUCCGCUGUGAAAGUCAAAGGCUCAACCUUUGAAAGCCGGUGGAUACUGGAUGGCUAGAGUACGGAAGAGGCGAGUGGAAUUCCUGGUGUAGCGGUGGAAUGCGCAGAUAUCAGGAGGAACACCAAUAGCGAAGGCAGCUCGCUGGGACGUUACUGACACUGAGGCGCGAAAGCGUGGGGAGCGAACAGGAUUAGAUACCCGCGUAGUCCCUGUCUCUUAUAC